rnacentral:rRNA from 1 species
AUUGAACGCUGGCGGAAUGCUUUACACAUGCAAGUCGAACGGCAGCACGGGGGCAACUCUGGUGGCGAGUGGCGAACGGGUGAGUAAUACACCGGAACGUGCCCAGUCGUGGGGGAUAACGUAGCGAAAGCUACGCUAAUACCGCAUACGAUCUAAGGAUGAAAGCGGGGGAUCGCAAGACCUCGCGCGAUUGGAGCGGCCGAUGGCAGAUUAGGUAGUUGGUAGGGUAAAGGCCUACCAAGCCGACGAUCUGUAGCUGGUCUGAGAGGAUGAUCAGCCACACUGGGACUGAGACACGGCCCAGACUCCUACGGGAGGCAGCAGUGGGGAAUUUUGGACAAUGGGCGCAAGCCUGAUCCAGCCAUUCCGCGUGCAGGAUGAAGGCCUUCGGGUUGUAAACUGCUUUUGUACAGAACGAAAAGGCUCUGGUUAAUACCCGGGGCUCAUGACGGUACUGUAAGAAUAAGCACCGGCUAACUACGUGCCAGCAGCCGCAGUAA